CCUACGGGAGGCAGCAGUGGGGAAUAUUGGACAAUGGGGGGAACCCUGAUCCAGCCAUGCCGCGUGUGUGAAGAAGGCCCUCGGGUUGUAAAGCACUUUCAGUGAGGAAGAACGCCUGGUGGUUAAUACCCAUCAGGAAAGACAUCACUCACAGAAGAAGCACCGGCUAACUCCGUGCCAGCAGCCGCGGUAAUACGGAGGGUGCGAGCGUUAAUCGGAAUUACUGGGCGUAAAGCGCGCGUAGGUGGCUUGAUAAGCCGGUUGUGAAAGCCCCGGGCUCAACCUGGGAACGGCAUCCGGAACUGUCAAGCUAGAGUGCAGGAGAGGAAGGUAGAAUUCCCGGUGUAGCGGUGAAAUGCGUAGAGAUUGGGAGGAAUACCAGUGGCGAAGGCGGCCUUCUGGACUGACACUGACACUGAGGUGCGAAAGCGUGGGUAGCAAACAGGAUUAGAUACCCGUGUAGC
rnacentral:rRNA from 1 species